rnacentral:rRNA from 1 species
UGAUCCUGGCUCAGAUUGAACGCUGGCGGCAGGCCUAACACAUGCAAGUCGAGCGGAUGAGAGGAGCUUGCUCCUUGAUUUAGCGGCGGACGGGUGAGUAAUGCCUAGGAAUCUGCCUGGUAGUGGGGGAUAACGUUCCGAAAGGAACGCUAAUACCGCAUACGUCCUACGGGAGAAAGCAGGGGACCUUCGGGCCUUGCGCUAUCAGAUGAGCCUAGGUCGGAUUAGCUAGUUGGUGAGGUAAUGGCUCACCAAGGCGACGAUCCGUAACUGGUCUGAGAGGAUGAUCAGUCACACUGGAACUGAGACACGGUCCAGACUCCUACGGGAGGCAGCAGUGGGGAAUAUUGGACAAUGGGCGAAAGCCUGAUCCAGCCAUGCCGCGUGUGUGAAGAAGGUCUUCGGAUUGUAAAGCACUUUAAGUUGGGAGGAAGGGCAUUAACCUAAUACGUUAGUGUUUUGACGUUACCGACAGAAUAAGCACCGGCUAACUUCGUGCCAGCAGCCGCGGUAAUACGAAGGGUGCAAGCGUUAAUCGGAAUUACUGGGCGUAAAGCGCGCGUAGGUGGUUCGUUAAGUUGGAUGUGAAAGCCCCGGGCUCAACCUGGGAACUGCAUCCAAAACUGGCGAGCUAGAGUACGGUAGAGGGCGGUGGAAUUUCCUGUGUAGCGGUGAAAUGCGUAGAUAUAGGAAGGAACACCAGUGGCGAAGGCGACCACCUGGACUGAUACUGACACUGAGGUGCGAAAGCGUGGGGAGCAAACAGGAUUAGAUACCCUGGUAGU